UACGAAGGGGGGCUAGCGUUGCUCGGAAUCACUGGGCGUAAAGCGCACGUAGGCGGCUUUUUAAGUCAGGGGUGAAAUCCUGGAGCUCAACUCCAGAACUGGCCUUUGAUACUGAGAAGCUUGAGUCCGGGAGAGGUGAGUGGAACUGCGAGUGUAGAGGUGAAAUUCGUAGAUAUUCGCAAGAACACCAGUGGCGAAGGCGGCCUUCUGGACAGUGACUGACGCUGAGACACGAAAGCGUGGGGAGCGAACAGG
rnacentral:rRNA from 1 species